GGUUGUCGGCUGCUUGGUGAAAGUUCAGUCCCCCGUCAACACAGGAUGCUUUCAGGAACAGUAUUGAAUGUAGGUCACCUGCAUUUUGGCAGCAUUAACAUUGCCCAAAACACAAAAGUAAAAUAGACUCAAAGCGUUUUGAGUUGCGAUAUGGCACGUACAGGGUGAGUGAAUCACUAGCCUGUGUAGACAGCUCUAUUGAUUAAAACAAAAUGUGCUCUGUCAGAUACGCGUUAGAGAGACAACUGAAGAACGCAGCUGUAGCAACUCCUGUACAGAUGAACCUUUGCAGUAAAGGAGAAGUGAGAGGAAUUGAGAAAACUAAUAUCAUCUACGCUGCUCACUCCCAACUCCAAAUAACAGACUGCGACUCCUCUCCCCAACUGGUGUGUACCCUCCCAGCAAAGUGAGUGCACUGGGCAUAUUGGGAUGUGAUAGGGAGAGGGGGCUGCUGAACACGGAGAAAUAACAAGCUGGGUCUCUUUAUCAGGUGUUUUGCACACUUUUCAAAGCACGUCAUGCAGGCCAGUGUUUUGUUUCUAGAUUUGUGUGGAUGGUGACUUAUGAUUUGGGGGUCCGGGGGUCUACCCCCUAAAACCUUUCAGCAUUAAACACUUCAUUUCCUGCAUUCUGGUGAGUUGUAUGCAUCUAAUUUUACCUUUUUCUGAAUCAAUGUAUGCUGGAAAUAUCUUUAUGUAAAGGGAACCAGAUUACAAUCCAAAUAUAAAAACGUAAUGGAAAAUAUCGCAGUAAGGCUCUCAGGAAUUCUGUGUUGCUUUCAUCUAUUUAUUCUCCUUUAGAUUUAAUUUUUAAAUUAUAUCUGAGUCAGCAGACAUCUAGCCUAAAGGCAUCAUUUACUCCUCCCUGUUUUGGGUCUUUUGUUGGGGAAGUAACUUCCGUAAAUGUGCAUAUUAUUCAACUCAGUAAAACAUAUUAUCAAUUUAAAUGUAUUAAUAAAUCCCUGGACUGUAAUAUUUCAGAUGUGUUUGAGAAAGAUUUCUGCUCAUGCUCAUGCAAAUUCAAAAUAUAACUCAUCUGUGCUCUCUGAGAUUUGGAGGAGUUGUGAUGUUUUGAGAAAAGUAAAGUGAUAAUACAAUAGGCU